CGCCAGCAGCUGCCUCGUUGGCAGUUGGAUUAGGCCUGGGGGCGGGGACCAGACCCGGCAUCCUCGCCUGGCAAUCGCGAUGCUCAGAUUCCUUAUUUGGAGGGACGGGAGGUGGGGAGCCAGAACGGCGGAGACCGCCCGGGCCAGGGAGGAAAAUGUAGAGCAGAGGGGGGCGAGGAGAACAACACCCCCCGCACCCGCGCGGGGACAGCCCAGCCAACUUGAUCUCUAACCAGAUGGAAGGAAGAUCCUUGAGGGAGAUGAGGCACUGGGUGUACUUGGUGGGUACAUUGUGCUGUGACACUGGUGACUGAUAAAGCCUGAGGAAUCAGCAAGGGACAUUCAUGCUUAUGAGCAGGGUGAAGACGAUGAAUUUGGCACCUGAAGUUCUCCAGCCUCUUGAGGAGGGAACAAUGUGGCUGUGUGCCUUGUCCCCUCAGACUUGCGUUUCCGUGGCAGAGAACACAUUUCCUGAGAUGGGCUUGAGUCAUCUUUUUCCUCUGGUCGGGAAAUUCUGGAAGCUUGAGCUGCUCGCUGCCAUGCCUCCCCAGCCAUCAUGGACUCUUCCUCUGGAACCCUAAGCCAAAACUCUUUCUUCCGUAAGUGGCUUUUGGGAUGAUGUUUUAUCACAGCAACAAAAAGUAAUUAAUGCAGUGACCUUGACUGGGUCGCAGGAUCAGAACAAGAGCUGUGAAUGCACUAUCUGCCUGUGUCAGGAGCUUUAAAUGAAUGACCGUCCUUGCCUCCUGGGACUCCCGGCUCAAGGUUGCUAGAGGAGAAAACUGAGACUCAGCAAACUCUAUCACUCACUCUUCUUCAGCUUCAUAGUGUGAAAUAGCCAAGUCGGGGCUCAAACCCGGGUCUACUGAGGCCCGUGACUUUUCCCUAGAAGCCUGGAGUGUUGUCUUUUCGCUUCUGGACGACUCUGACAUUUACCAGAUGGUUGCUGGGAUGUCCUGGAAUUAAGAGGUCAGCAGCAGAAGUGAUCUGUUUCCCUUGGUCCUGUGCUGAUGGGCUUGUGACCAUUCUCAGCAUCUCUAGUCUGACUGUAUCCCACCAGCAUGACUCUAGUGUUAAAAAUAACCAGCAAUGACAAGAACUGGGCUUCUGCAGUCAAAAGGACAACAUAUGUUUCUCAUUUUGUCUUUUUCUUCCAUAAUUCUCUAGACAUGGAUUAAAUAUGAAAAAAGUACUUCCUGACCAAAGACUUGGAAGACACUGGGAAAGUCAUUCAAUAGUGAACUUACUGUCCAGAGAAUUCUUUUACAGGCCUCUUUAAAUUGUAAAAAAUUCUUUGACAGCAUAAUACACCUAUGCAAUAAAUUUUAGGUGUUUCA